UACGUAGGGUGCGAGCGUUGUCCGGAAUUAUUGGGCGUAAAGGGCUCGUAGGCGGUUUGUCGCGUCGGGAGUGAAAACCUCGGGCUUAACUCGGGGCUUGCUUUCGAUACGGGCAGACUAGAGGUAUGCAGGGGAGAACGGAAUUCCUGGUGUAGCGGUGAAAUGCGCAGAUAUCAGGAGGAACACCGGUGGCGAAGGCGGCUCUCUGGGCAUGAUCUGACGCUGAGGAGCGAAAGUGUGGGGAGCGAACAGG
rnacentral:rRNA from 1 species